rnacentral:rRNA from 1 species
GACGAACGCUGGCGGCGUGCUUAAUACAUGCAAGUAGAACGCAGAGCGUUGGAAGUUGGCUCCUACGAAUCUUAUUCGCAAACGUGAGUAUCACGUGGAUUAACCCUCCGCUUCAGGGGGAGACAAAAUGUGGAAGCUACCUCUAAUCCCACAUACGAUCUAAUCUCGGCAUCGAUGAUAGAUAGAAGGUGUUCUCUACCUGUAAGCUAGCACUGCGGCUGAUUAGCGAGUUGGUUGGGUAACGGCUCACCAAGGCAACGAUCCAUAGCCGACCUGAGAGGAUGAACGGCCACACUGGGACUGAGACACGGCCCAGACUCCUACGGGAGGCAGCAGUAGGGAAUCUUCCGCAAUGGACGGAAGUCUGACCGAGCAACGCCGCGUGAGUGAUGAAGGCUUUCGGAUCGUAAAGCUCUGUUGUACGGGAAGAAAGGGUUUGAUGCGGGUAGGGAGAAGGAUUGACGGUACCGGAACAGAAAGCCACGGCUAACUACGUG